rnacentral:rRNA from 1 species
UACAGAGGGUGCGAGCGUUAAUCGGAAUUACUGGGCGUAAAGCGUGCGUAGACGGUCAAGUAAGUCGGGUGUGAAAGCCCCGGGCUCAACCUGGGAAUUGCAUUCGAGACUGCGUGGCUAGGGUGCGGAAGAGGGAAGCGGAAUUUCCGGUGUAGCGGUGAAAUGCGUAGAUAUCGGAAGGAACACCAGUGGCGAAGGCAGCUCGCUGGGACGUGACUGACGCUGAGACGCGAAAGCGUGGGGAGCAAACAGG